CGGGAGUGGCAUGGAGGUGAAGGGGCUGUCACUCCUCUGACGUUGGCCUGGGGAGGUCCCACUGAAUUGUGACACUGGGUAUUCUUGAAUUCCAAAAAUCCCAAUCCGAGGAAUUAUCCCUGAUCUUUCGUGUUCUAAGACAUUUUACCAUAUGUCCAAAGGCAGCCAGAAGUUUGAAAUUAAUCUUGAUCCACAUCCAUCGAAGUAGUAGGGCCAUGUCUCCUGACAUUAUGAAACCCGUGCUGAUGUUCUGGGCAGAACAUCUAUAUCUGGCAUGGUUGGCAAGAGUCCAGUGUCCUUUCUCCAUCUUCUGUAUCAGGAAGUGUCUGGAAGAAGGAGCUAUUCUUUGCUCAUGUUAGCAGGAUGGAGGAGGAAACACUUUCCAUCAGUGCAUGCAGGUAGCAGCUAAGCACCCAUCUUGAAACUGAGCUGGAAUCGGCAGACACCAGCUGAGAGUGGCUGGCUUUUCUCCACCUCCUUCCCCAAUGGGGAAAGGGAAAUGAGCAGCGAAACCAUCUGAGUACAAUCCCAUGAUGAAAUAUAUCACCCU